rnacentral:rRNA from 1 species
CAGUCGCCGCGGGAAUACGAAGGGUGCAAGCGUUGCUCGGAAUGACUGGGCGUAAAGGGCGCGUAGGCGGUUUUGACAGUCAGAUGUGGAAUUCCUGGGCUUAACCUGGGGGCUGCAUUUGAGACGUCAAGACUAGAGUGUGAGAGAGGGUUGUGGAAUUCCCAGUGUAGAGGUGAAAUUCGUAGAUAUUGGGAAGAACACCGGUGGCGAAGGCGGCAACCUGGCUCAUUACUGACGCUGAGGCGCGAAAGCGUGGGGAGCAAACAGGAUUAGAUACCCCCGUAGUCCCUGUCUCUUAUAC